GGAGGAGUCGCAUAGCGGUCUAGUGCGAAGGUUUGCUAAACCUUUGAGUCGAAAGGCUCGCGUGGGUUCGAAUCCCACCUCCUCCG
rnacentral:tRNA from 1 species